CUAGAAGUCAUCUUUCUAUGUCUCCACUAGACUGAGCUCCUUUGAAGAGAUCAUCCUGAUGUUUAAAUAUCCACCGUGAAGAUAAGACGUGGGCCCUUCAGCAGAAGGAUCACAGUAAACUCACAGAGCUGCCGGCAGUCAGCAUGCAUCUUUUCUAUAUGCAGGGGCUGAGACUGUCCCCCUGCAGCAUCUUCCAUCCUUGCCUCGCUGGCUCAUCAGCAUCAGCACCAAGGACAGCUCCCUGAUGCACCUGCUAGCUGCUGGCUCCCAAGGCUGUUGAGGAAUGCCUGGUCAUGAAAGCAAGUUGAGACAGCUGGAACUAACCCCUGCAGUUCAGUUCCCUGCUGACUUCAAUAACAGAGUCUUCUUAGGGAGACUGCAAAUAGCUGGAGGCCAUUUCUCAACAAUUCUCCUUGGAAAAAUCUUGGAAACUUCAAUCUCAACCAUAUUAAACAGUUCAUUUUAAACA